AUCCGGCUCGCCAAGUCCAAAGGCAAUUUCCCCUUUACUCCUUGCCCAUCCCUCCUUCCACUCCCACUCUGUGCUGAUUUGGCCAUGAUUGAUAUUAUUGAUGAAUUAGGAAAAUGUUAAUUAUGUAAGCAGAUUAUCUUAUUACACGGAUGUGCUACUUCUGUAACAAAUGUGCAUUGCAUGUUGUCCAAUUGACAAAAAUUUCCGAGUGCGUAUACUCUGUGUGUGUUGCCCUCUUAAGCUAAUAAUUAUUCUGCCAUUUUUAAUCAAUGUUUUAAAUAGCCGGCUAUAGCUCCGAUAUAGCUCCGUUAUAGCCUUUGAAAGCACUCCCGCUAAAGCUAUGCACUUUUAGUGCAAAAUUGAAAAAGAAGCUAAUAGCCCGCUAUUUCCCGCUAUAGCGUUAAAUUUGGAGUCAUUUAACUCGCUAAGCCGCUAUACAAAAUCAUACUUCUUCAUUAUCUUUUGUUCCUUUUUAUGAUAUAUAUGAUGCAUUGAUGUGAAGCUUGAUUAUUGAAUUAGGAUGCCUCUUGAUACUUGUGUUUUGAUGUGCGAACUUGUGUAUAUGUAAAGUAUAUGCAAUAUAUUAUAUAUUAUAUAUGAUGCUUGAUUAUAUAUACUUAGUUUCAAUUUAAGAGAAAUGCUUAAGGCUUAGCUACGCUAUAACCUUUCAUAGCUUCUGGUGGAGGCGUCGCUAAAUGACAUAGCCUGCUAUUUAAAACAUUGUUUUUAAUACAGGUGCUGCUACCAGUGUGUAUUGACAACUUGGUUCUUUAUAAUCCGAUCAUAACUUGUGAUUGUGGAAUGUCAGAUCUUCUUUUUACUCAACAAACAUUCUGUAAGGUAGGAAGUUGCACUAGCUAGAUUGGCCCUUUGUCCAGUUUAGAUAUUGGAGCACAUAAGGUCAUUUGAGGUUUGUAUUUUGCAUGCUUUGUUUCAGUGAACUUCACUUCUAUCUUGGCUCAUCAUUAAUCUUUGAUUUGUUUAUCUGUGCAGAGGAUUUGAUAUGACUAGCAAAUUGAAGUUUCCUUUUUUACCUGCAAACAUCUAUGUUGCUCAAAUGGUAUUUGGUCGCUUCCUCAAUGUUGGACAGCAAAAAUCCUUUUUUGUUGAUUAUUCUGCUGGGGAAAAUGAACUAAAUAUUCUCUGUAAAUUAGGGGAUUUAGUUCUGUCUGCGAUUUCAAACAAAUUUUGUUUAAUUUGAGUGGGCAAAGUGCAGAUGAUGUUUUUUGCAAGGGAGGGUGCUGGAUUCCCUAGAAUUAAACACAGAUUAUUCUGCUGGGAAAAUGUACUAAAUAUUCUUUGUAAAUCAAAGGAUUCAUUUCUGUCUGGGAUUUCUUAAGUGGGCUAAGUGCACAUGAUUUCUAUUUUUUUUGCAAGGGAGAAUGUUCGUUUCCCUAGAAUUAAACAUACAUGUUACUGUUCAUGGAUGGAGCAGGUCUUCCAUUUCAUCAAGUGUAUCUUCGAGCUUAUAGGACUAUUGAAUUAUGUGAAACUGUAAUUGCUCGUACCCAGUUGUAAAUUUGUUUUGGUUUUGCUGAAACUGAAUUAUGAGGGACUAUUUCGUAAACAACUGAAAAAUGAAGUUAUGUUCAUCGUUUCUGAAUUUAU
rnacentral:lncRNA from 1 species